AUUGAACGCUGGCGGCAGGCUUAACACAUGCAAGUCGAGCGGAGAUGAGGUGCUUGCACCUUAUCUUAGCGGCGGACGGGUGAGUAAUGCUUAGGAAUCUGCCUAUUAGUGGGGGACAACAUUCCGAAAGGAAUGCUAAUACCGCAUACGUCCUACGGGAGAAAGCAGGGGAUCUUCGGACCUUGCGCUAAUAGAUGAGCCUAAGUGGGAUUAGCUAGUUGGUGGGGUAAAGGCCUACCAAGGCGACGAUCUGUAGCGGGUCUGAGAGGAUGAUCCGCCACACUGGGACUGAGACACGGCCCAGACUCCUACGGGAGGCAGCAGUGGGGAAUAUUGGACAAUGGGGGGAACCCUGAUCCAGCCAUGCCGCGUGUGUGAAGAAGGCCUUAUGGUUGUAAAGCACUUUAAGCGAGGAGGAGGCUACUGAGACUAAUACUCUUGGAUAGUGGACAUUACUCGCAGAAUAAGCACCGGCUAACUCUGUGCCAGCAGCCGCCGCAGUAA
rnacentral:rRNA from 1 species